CCUACGGGAGGCAGCAGUGAGGAAUAUUGGUCAAUGGACGGAAGCCUGAACCAGCCAUGCCGCGUGCAGGAAGACGGCUCUAUGAGUUGUAAACUGCUUUUGUACAAGGGUAAACCUGAAUACGUGUAUUCAGCUGAAAGUACUGUACGAAUAAGGAUCGGCUAACUCCGUGCCAGCAGCCGCGGUAAUACGGAGGAUCCAAGCGUUAUCCGGAUUUAUUGGGUUGAAAGGGUGCGUAGGCGGAUUGAUAAGUUAGAGGUGAAAUGUCCGAGCUUAACUCGGGAACUGCCUCUAAUACUGUUGAUCUAGAGAGUAGAUGCGGUAGGCGGAAUGUAUGGUGUAGCGGUGAAAUGCUUAGAGAUCAGACAGAACACCGAUUGCGAAGGCAGCUUACCAAUCUAUAUCUGACGUUGAGGCACGAAAGCGUGGGGAGCAAACAGGAUUAGAUACCCGUGUAGUC
rnacentral:rRNA from 1 species